rnacentral:rRNA from 1 species
AACGAACGCUGGCGGCGCGCCUAAUACAUGCAAGUCGAGCGAGAAGACGUAGCAAUACGUUUGUAAAGCGGCAAACGGGUGAGGAAUACAUGGGUAACCUACCCUCGAGUGGGGAAUAACUAGCCGAAAGGUUAGCUAAUACCGCGUACGCUCCUUGGACUUCGGUUCAGGGAGGAAAGCGAUACCGUGGGUAUCGCGCUCUUGGAUGGGCUCAUGUCCUAUCAGCUUGUUGGUGAGGAACGGCUCACCAAGGCUUCGACGGGUAGCUGGUCUGAUAGGACGAUCAGCCACACUGGCACUGCGACACGGGCCAGACUCCUACGGGAGGCAGCAGUAAGGAAUAUUGCGCAAUGGGCCAAAGCCUGACGCAGCGACGCCGCGUGGGGAUGAAGGU